GAUGAACGCUGGCGGCGUGCCUAAUACAUGCAAGUCGAGCGAACAGACGAGGAGCUUGCUCCUCUGACGUUAGCGGCGGACGGGUGGGUAACACGUGGAUAACCUACCUAUAAGACUGGGAUAACUUCGGGAAACCGGAGCUAAUACCGGAUAAUAUAUUGAACCGCAUGGUUCAAUAGUGAAAGACGGUUUUGCUGUCACUUAUAGAUGGAUCCGCGCCGCAUUAGCUAGUUGGUAAGGUAACGGCUUACCAAGGCAACGAUGCGUAGCCGACCUGAGAGGGUGAUCGGCCACACUGGAACUGAGACACGGUCCAGACUCCUACGGGAGGCAGCAGUAGGGAAUCUUCCGCAAUGGGCGAAAGCUUGACGGAGCAACGCCGCGUGAGUGAUGAAGGUCUUCGGAUCGUAAAACUCUGUUAUUAGGGAAGAACAAAUGUGCAAGUAACUAUGCACGUCUUGACGGUACCUAAUCAGAAAGCCACGGCUAACUACGUG
rnacentral:rRNA from 1 species